UACGUAGGGUGCGAGCGUUGUCCGGAAUUAUUGGGCGUAAAGAGCUCGUAGGCGGUCUGUCGCGUCGGUCGUGAAAACCUGCAGCUUAACUGUGGGCGUGCGGUCGAUACGGGCAUGACUGGAGUUCGGCAGGGGAGACUGGAAUUCCUGGUGUAGCGGUGAAAUGCGCAGAUAUCAGGAGGAACACCGGUGGCGAAGGCGGGUCUCUGGGCCGUAACUGACGCUGGAGGAGCGAAAGCAUGGGGAGCGAACAGG
rnacentral:rRNA from 1 species